UGAAGUUUAAAAAAAAAAAACUUAAUGCAUUCAAUCUUUAUGUGUUCCAAAUAACAACGGAAUCAGUGUUGAAAUUCUCUCUCUGGAAAUUUCAUAUUUUAUGUGGAAAGAUGUAGUUCUUGGCUUUAACAGAGCUUGUUGAGUUCUUGUUUUACUCUGCCAUGGUGAAUCAGUUCUGUGAAAGCCAGAAGAGGAAGACUUGGAAUUUUAAAAAAUAAUAGAGCCUUGUUAAAGAGGAUACUGAAAAUAAAGUUCAGUGGAUGUCUUUUAAAGAGUACUGCAGCAUUAAUUUUCAGCGUGUUGUUAAUCACCUUGGCAUUUCCUCUAGUGGCAGAUCUUGAUGCUCUGCACUUGAAUUUUUAAAACUCUGCAUUGCGUGUAACUUUGCACCAGUGCAGCCAUGUUUUAGAUACAGCAUUUUUUAAUUCCAACCUUACCAAUGCCUGAGACAUAGCAAGAGGCAUAAUUAUUUGUUUAGAAACCUGUAAUUAAAAUGAACUUUGAACAACUUUAGCAGAUCGAGGAUCUAUUAUCUAUGGAUCAAAUUUCUGAAGACAGCUAAACCCAGGGAUGUAAAGUCAAAAAGUCUCACCUAAUGAAUGAAUCUUACUUUCCCGGAUGGGAUCUUCUUUUCACAAUCUUGGCAAUUCUGAAAAGCAAUAUCUUCAUGAUCCAUGGGCUCGCCAUCAUCAUCUGCUCUUGUCCCUUAGAUUGCUAACUGCAUCACAUCUUUUAGAAUACUUUAUUCAGUUUUGCGGUUAAAAUGAAUAUAUGUGUACACUGAAGGUAGAAGCUGACAAAAUGCC
rnacentral:lncRNA from 1 species